rnacentral:rRNA from 1 species
AUAGCGUAUAUUAAAGUUGUUGCGGUUAAAAAGCUCGUAGUUGGAUCUCGGUUUCGGGCGGAUGGUGCACCUCGCGGUGUUUACUUUCUGCCCGGACGAUUUUGUUGGUUCGUUCGUGGUUCUCUUAACCGGGUGCCACGGGUGGCCAGCACGUUUACUUUGAAAAAAUUGGAGUGCUCAAAGCAGGCGCUACAGCCUGAACAUUAGUGCAUGGAAUAAUGGAAUAGGACCUCGGUUCUAUUUCGUUGGCUUUCGGAGUCGAGGUAAUGAUUAAUAGGAACAGACGGGGGCAUUCGUACUGCGACGUUAGAGGUGAAAUUCUUGGAUCGUCGCAAGACGAACUACUG